UACGUAGGGACCAAGCGUUGUUCGGAUUUACUGGGCGUAAAGGGCGCGUAGGCGGCGUGUCAAGUCAAUUGUGAAAUCUCCGGGCUUAACUCGGAACGGUCAAUUGAUACUGAUGUGCUAGAGUGCAGAAGGGGCAAUCGGAAUUCUUGGUGUAGCGGUGAAAUGCGUAGAGAUGUGGAGGAACACCGAUGGCGAAGGCAGCCUCCUGGGCCAGCACUGACGCUCAUGCACGAAAGCGUGGGGAGCAAACGGG
rnacentral:rRNA from 1 species